rnacentral:lncRNA from 1 species
UUAUGUUAACAGCAUGAGAGUCAUUUAUUUUUCGGCUACUAGUAUGUAACAUUUUGAUUUAGAGAAUCAGAAAGUUCUUUUCCAUCAAGCUUUCCACCAUAUCCUUGAGGCUCACUUCAAGAGGUAGAAAAUCAAUGCCUAGACUUUUAGCUCUUUCCUUAGAGACAUGGAAGGGUGGACCAGCAGGCUUUUCUUUUUUGCACCUGAAACUCAAUACAAUAAAACAAAAUACCUGAGACUACUCCAACGACUUGUGGAAUUAUUAGGUGGAACUUAAAAAUUUUGAUUACUAUCAUGCGGUUGUAUUACAACAGUAUCAAAUGCAUUCAGCAAAGAGUGUACUACUGCAUUUUGUUAAAAUAACAGCUGGUUUCAUAAUGCAAUCGGAAAAAUAUUUUUAUUUUCCAAUGAUAUUAUAUCAAAGUGUGUAUAGACUUUAGAGAUCCAUGUUAUAUGACUCUAGAGAAUCUUAAUAUAAAAGCAUAUUAUAUGAUUCCCAUGUUCUUAUCAGAUCAACCCUUCAGAAGUCACGUCUUUUGUCAUCAUUUUUCACUUUGAUAGUUUGGCCAACAUGAAACGAACAGCAGCAACUUAAUCUUGACCACAUACAUGUCCAUCCAAUGAAAUUAAAAAAACAUGCUUAUCUAUUGAUUUCUUCGAUUAUCUGUAAUUUGUAAAGUAGAUAGAGUGUCAGGCAUCUACAUUAAACUUCUGUGAUUUACUAAGCCGAUACUUCAAAAACUCGUGUCAAGGUGUACAAAUCCUUUUUUGAUUUAAAAUUAUUUUUUCAUCAUUGAACAAUGACCGACUCUUCAUAACAAAUCGUUCAGAUUAUACAAAGAAAGGGAUUUAAAUCAGAACUACAAUGAAGAAAGAAAAAAUUGCACGAGACAAUGCACAUGGAUGACAACAUAUUAAAUUUUUUAAUGUCAGAUCCCAUGGAAUCAUGCCUAGAGUCAUGGAAGAUAGAAAUUCUAAUAUGUGAUGGCAAUGAAAAGUAAACAUACGUAUCAGGAAGACUAAUAGCAGGAUAAAGCUUGUGUAUUAUCUUCAAAGCCUCCGAAGAGUAUGCCACACUCCCAACUAAGCAAUAUCUUCCACAUGCAGAAGGAAUCUCAAAUGCUUGUAUAUGAGCAUAAGCAACAUCUCUGACAUCAACAAAUCUAUAAAUUCCAUCAAUGGACAUUUCUUUUCCUGUGACAUACAAAAUAUUUUAACCAUCAGGAUGAUUUAAAAAUGUGUGAUGAUAUAUGAACACAUCCAUACUUUUUGAUACUUAACAGUGUAAUUAAGAUGGAUGUCAUUUGUUUGUGAUACAUGCGUUGUAAAUUAGACGUCUCUCAUCUAGAUGGUCGAACAAACAAAAGGAAGCAUAACAUAUAUAGCAUAUACAAAUAUUACUGAAACCAACAAAGUAACGAGAAAAAACAAAAAUACUUUAAAUUUGGUUGAGAAAGCAAGAGGUGGGGAACUUUAAUUACAAUUUACUGUAAUUAGUUCUAGUUGGAGUGUAAGACUUCUCUGUAAAGUUUGAGAAGUCUUAAAAGUAGUGCUCGAUAAUCAAUAACAUCUUACAAUGCCAGAAGUAGAGAAAAUGAUUAUGUUUAUGAUAACCUAUAUUGGAGGAACAUCACAUAUGAUACUUGUACAUAUUAAAUACUUGGCUGAUAAGUGACAUAAACUGAUCAGUUGCAAAUGUACUUUAAUGAGGCUGCUCUUUUUUCAAUUUUUUCACAAUGUCCACAGGCAUAACUUUGGCCCUAAUGCCUUGCUCCUAGUGUCUGGGUGUCAGACUCAAGCAGUUUAGCACAGAAUGAAGAUUUUAAGUACCAGAGCCUUACAGGCCAAAGUUGACAAUACAAGUUGUUAGGGGUGUACGCGAUUUGUUUUGGGCAGUUAGAAGGUAAAACCAAACCAGACUACAACUUGCGGUUUUUUAAAAUUCUUCAUUUGUGGCUAAACCACUAGUUAGAAAAAACCGAACCAAAUCAACCCGCGAAAAUGCGGUUUUUGCAGUUCGAAUCUACAGUUCAAUCACUAUAGAUGCGUGUGUGUCUAGUUGGAAAAAAAAAAACUCGCCUUAGUUUAUGAGCUUGCAGAAUUUGCAGAAAUAAUAAUAUAAAGCAGUAGUAAUAAAGAAGUGCAGAACACAACCUAUGAAAAUCAAACAGAAUGGUACAAUAUAUAAGAUUAAGUAAUUAUACAUAAGCAGAAGCUUAGUUUAGAAAGUCGGGAAAAGGGGGACAGGGACGUACUCACAUAAAACCCAUGACCAAAAAAAGGUCAUGAAUAGGCGCCUGAACCACUGGGGCAACACGACAUUUGUAUAUUACUAUAGUUAGGCAUUAAGACAAUUCAAUAUAAGAAUUCAACUCAUAUAAAAAUAUAUGUAUAUUAUAGCACUCAAGUGACCCUGAUUUUUUCUCACUUAUAGGUCAGAGGAAAGAGCUGCAAGAAUCAAUCGAGUAGAAGAUACUUGGAAUUAUGUUAUCAAGUUUCUUCCAUAGGUAGUUGCUAGACAAGUUGCAUAGUUGAAAGGUAAAUGGUGCUUUGGCAAUGUAGCAGAAGGUAUCAUCUUACCCGUUUUAAUGAGGUUUAGCAUCCCUUCUGAAGUAGCAUUUAAAACUGGCUGCAAGAGAGGACCUAAGACAAAACCUGGAUGCAGUGUCACCAAGUCAAUUCCGUGCUCUUCUGCAAACUUUAAAGCUGCUUGCUCAGCCAAUGUUUUGAAAGGUGAUAAUAAAGCUGAGCAAAAACAGAAGUUCCAUCAACAUCUUACAGUUCACAAGCUUAAAGAUACUCUUUCAAAUUAUAGAAUUCCAAAGCAGGUGAAAUGAAAUAAUUCCAAAUAAAACACGGUCUUCAGAUUUAAGCCUUACAACGAAAAUGUUCCGUUCCAUAUUAAAUAACUAUGCCUUCGAUUGGAGGAUAACAAGGUUAACCACAGACAGCCUAUUACUUUCCUUUUUUUUUUUGCUAAAUGACUGAAGACUGAAGAAAACAAGCUGUGCAUUGUUUCUAAAACUUUGUAGGCAUGCGUUUCAGUUAAAAAAGAGUGGAAUAUAUGCUAUAGGCAGUCUACAGAACAAGCACAUUUUAACAUAUUUAACAGUUGAGAAUUUCAUAUUAUGUUGUACACUUGCCUUCCGUUCCUCACAAAGUACUGGAGAAGAAAACCAAGUUUCAUCCAUCACAGUAUCAGGCUUCAAAGGCUUCCCGGUGAUCAUAAUUGAAGCUGUGGAAGAUGUUAUUACCACCCUUUUAAUAGAUGGAAAUUUUGUGCAUGACUGAAGAACGUUAAGUGUUCCCUUCACUGCAGGCUCGACCAGUUCUGCCUGAAACUGAGUAAAGGAAAUAAGAACACGGAGGUCAAACGUACGCUUGUAAGCUAAAAUUCCAUUUCAGAAACAUUUGUUAGAAAAGUACAAAAAAUAAAAUGCAGAUCAUGCUCACACGUUGGUUGUUAUCAUAUAUUGAUAACAAUCAAGGAAACUACACAGCAAUAGAUCUACUGACUAAGUAAAUGAUAAUUAUAAACAAAAUAAGACAACAACCUAAUAUAACCCAGGAAAUUCACUUGUUCUGCCAAAGAUACGAACUGAAUCUAUAUUGUCCAAUAAUAUGGUAGAUAAAGGUUCCAGUCGUGUGUAAGUUUAAGAAUGGCGACGAAGUAUGAGCACUUUAUCUAGUGACAAAGUGCUAAAUCUAUAUAACUCUUUAAAAGUAGUUGUAAUACUACAUAUACUCUUCUUGUCAUGGUAUUGCCAUCCAAUUUAAUGUGACUAAAUGUCUAAUUUGUCCCUAAAUUUGUCUAGAUCAGUCUUACUUACAAGUACACGGAAAUGCAAGGAGUAGAAGAAAAAAACCUGGGGGAUAGAAGAUGAAAGGUUUACAGGUGAUGCUGUAUGAAAGACACAAUCACAUCCAUCAACCGCAGGAUCAAAUGAUCCCUCCUCAAGUAAAUUUGCUUCAAACAAGUGAAGUCUUUCCUUGGCUCCGUCAAGUGCAAGGAGGUGUUCGGUCUUCUGUGGAUCUUCUGAAAUACAAGAAGAAGACUGAUGAUAACUACUAGCCUUAAAAUGUAGAUGGAAGGAGUCUAAAUUUCUUCUGACAUUCAGCAACUCAGUAUAUAUCUAGUUCAUCAUGUCAUGCAAAUUGCAAAGCUCCAAUCCUCACAAGGUCAUGUGCAACUUUAGGUUAUGAGACAUGUCAUUUUAUUCUUUUUAGUUGGGAAAUAAGCUUAUGAGUAAAAAUUUCUGCAGUGUCUGAAAACUAAUAUCUAAUGUCUUUGGCUAUUAAGGAGGACCUAAGCGAAUUUCAGACUGUUCAGCAAAACAAGAACACGACGGAUAGCCUAAUGACACAGAUUUAUUUGGUGGUCUGGGUUCGAGAAAAUAUUUCUGUACUUGUAAGGUAUAUAAGCCUAAUUUUUCAAAAAAACGAAAACCAAUAAAACAAUGAUCACAAAUCAUCUUUAAAAAUUACAAGCAAAAAAAAAACAAAGAUUACAACUUAACUGAGCACAUGAGUUGAGCUUAACAUAUUAUGUUGUGUUUGGUUGGGGUAAAUGAAAAUGGAAGGAAUGGAAUGAGAUUUGAACUAUAAUUUAGUUGAAUGUAUAUUAUUUCAAUUCUUCCACCAUUCCAUUCCUAUCACCCUUAACUAGAGCUCAAACCCUUAAUUUUGUGAAGGAAUGCUCCAUUCCUUAUCAUACCUAUUUUCUACCCAAAUCUUAUCAUACAAAAUUUGCUUUCACAUUUCACUCAUUUUUUUCAAAGUCCUCCCUCCUACACUCUAUUAUUUUCUUUUAUUUUACUCAUUCCAUUCCAUUCACCCCAACCAAACACAACAUUAGAACUUGAAAUUCACAGAACACACUGAAUCAAGUUUAAAAGAAAAAAAGCCCUUCCAGUUUCAAUCAAUAAAACAAAAACAAAAUAGAAAUUGAUUUAAUGCCUUAAACUACACAUAUCAAGAACUGGGUUUCUCAUUUUGCACUAAUAUAUCACAGAAAACACAAAUAAAGCAAGAUAAGUGAGGCAAAUCAACAAAGCAAGGAACACAAAAAAGAGCAGAAACAUGCAAAGAAAAAGAGUUGAAAUACAAACUGAGAGAUCGAACAGUGGCGUUGACAGUGUAAUGACGUUCAAGUAACAUCUUGACAAGCCAUGCAGCGAUAUAUCCUGACGCCCCUGUUACACAAGCUAGCUUUCCUCUUCCACUCAUGCUUUCCUCUGUCUCAACUGCCUUAAACUCUUCAACUUUUGUCUGUCCUAAAAUAGGGGUACUAAUUUUACAGUGAUAAAUUGAACACCUAUAAAAUUGUAUAAAAUUAUUCGAAAACACAAGUGUUUGAGCAUUUUAUUAUAAUAAAAAAAUAAGUAACAUGUACGAGUAUAAUUUAAUUAUGAACAAGAGGAAUCUUAAUUAGUUCACGUGAAUUUAAGAACCGGCUGCUGAGAGUAAUAUUUUAGUGCAAAAUUUAGCGCUAACAACAGACAAGAACAUUGAUUGAAUAGAUAAAUUCAACUCUCUCGUCCUACAAAUUGGUCCAAGUCUAAGAAUAAGACAGAGCCGAGACCUCACCAACGGCUUGGUUCUUUAUUAUCUGGUUGUCAGAAAUUUUAAUAAUUUAAGCAGGAAUAUAAAAUUAUAUAUUCACUUUUAUAAUUUGCAAUUACACAUUUACUUUUACUUUAAUCACAAAUUCGAUCAUCAAAACCUUAAUAAAUAUAAAUCUUCAUAAAGAAUCUUUCAGAAGCAAUCUUGUUUAUUAAUAAACUUAUACUUGUAUACAACUACUUACCUCAUAAUACUUUUUUAGUGAUGAUAUGGUUAUCCGUAAAAAAAAAAUAAAAAAAAUCUGGUAUGGUUUGGUCAACAAGCACGAGUCAGAGUUGUAAGCAUAAAGGGUUUCUUAAGUAAUCCUUGAGGCUCAAGAGGUAGGAAAUCAAUGGCCAGAGUUCUAGCUUUUUCCUUGGAGACACGGUAGGCUGGCCCAACAGGCUUCUCCCCUUGGCACCUCUGGGGAAAAUGAGUAUGCAUGCUUCAACGAAAAGCAACUAACCUCAACAUAUCCAGAACCAAGCCCUCUAAAUACAGCCAGCUUUAUUUAUCUCUCUCUGUGUUUUAGAAAGAGUUUAAGAAAGAUUCACAAGGUGCUACAAGUCUUUAUAAAACAACCCAGUUUAUCAUAAUAAUUACAGUUCUCAUCGGACACUUCAAAUUUUCGGUAGGGAUUUGUGUGACCAACUGACCAAGUAUGUUUGCAGCAUGAGAAUAAUUUAUUUUGCAGCUGACUAGUAUGUAACAUUUUGAUUUAGAGGAUCAGAAAGUUCUUUUCCAUCAAGCUUUCCACCAUAUCCUUGAGGCUCACUUCAAGAGGUAGAAAAUCAAUGCCUAGACGUUUAGCUCUUUCCUUAGAGACAUGGUAGGGUGGCCCAGCAGGCUUUUCUUUUUUGCACCUGAAACUCAAAACAAUAAAAUAC